AAAUUGAAGAGUUUGAUCAUGGCUCAGAUUGAACGCUGGCGGCAGGCCUAACACAUGCAAGUCGAGCGGUAGCACAGAGAGCUUGCUCUCGGGUGACGAGCGGCGGACGGGUGAGUAAUGUCUGGGAAACUGCCUGAUGGAGGGGGAUAACUACUGGAAACGGUAGCUAAUACCGCAUAACGUCGCAAGACCAAAGUGGGGGACCUUCGGGCCUCAUGCCAUCAGAUGUGCCCAGAUGGGAUUAGCUAGUAGGUGGGGUAACGGCUCACCUAGGCGACGAUCCCUAGCUGGUCUGAGAGGAUGACCAGCCACACUGGAACUGAGACACGGUCCAGACUCCUACGGGAGGCAGCAGUGGGGAAUAUUGCACAAUGGGCGCAAGCCUGAUGCAGCCAUGCCGCGUGUGUGAAGAAGGCCUUCGGGUUGUAAAGCACUUUCAGCGGGGAGGAAGGCGAUAAGGUUAAUAACCUUGUCGAUUGACGUUACCCGCAGAAGAAGCACCGGCUAACUCCGUGCCAGCAGCCGCGGUAAUACGGAGGGUGCAAGCGUUAAUCGGAAUUACUGGGCGUAAAGCGCACGCAGGCGGUCUGUCAAGUCGGAUGUGAAAUCCCCGGGCUCAACCUGGGAACUGCAUUCGAAACUGGCAGGCUAGAGUCUUGUAGAGGGGGGUAGAAUUCCAGGUGUAGCGGUGAAAUGCGUAGAGAUCUGGAGGAAUACCGGUGGCGAAGGCGGCCCCCUGGACAAAGACUGACGCUCAGGUGCGAAAGCGUGGGGAGCAAACAGGAUUAGAUACCCUGGUAGUCCACGCCGUAAACGAUGUCGAUUUGGAGGUUGUGCCCUUGAGGCGUGGCUUCCGGAGCUAACGCGUUAAAUCGACCGCCUGGGGAGUACGGCCGCAAGGUUAAAACUCAAAUGAAUUGACGGGGCCCGCACAAGCGGUGGAGCAUGUGGUUUAAUUCGAUGCAACGCGAAGAACCUUACCUGGUCUUGACAUCCACAGAACUUUCCAGAGAUGGAUUGGUGCCUUCGGGAACUGUGAGACAGGUGCUGCAUGGCUGUCGUCAGCUCGUGUUGUGAAAUGUUGGGUUAAGUCCCGCAACGAGCGCAACCCUUAUCCUUUGUUGCCAGCGGUCCGGCCGGGAACUCAAAGGAGACUGCCAGUGAUAAACUGGAGGAAGGUGGGGAUGACGUCAAGUCAUCAUGGCCCUUACGACCAGGGCUACACACGUGCUACAAUGGCAUAUACAAAGAGAAGCGACCUCGCGAGAGCAAGCGGACCUCAUAAAGUAUGUCGUAGUCCGGAUUGGAGUCUGCAACUCGACUCCAUGAAGUCGGAAUCGCUAGUAAUCGUAGAUCAGAAUGCUACGGUGAAUACGUUCCCGGGCCUUGUACACACCGCCCGUCACACCAUGGGAGUGGGUUGCAAAAGAAGUAGGUAGCUUAACCUUCGGGAGGGCGCUUACCACUUUGUGAUUCAUGACUGGGGUGAAGUCGUAACAAGGUAACCGUAGGGGAACCUGCGGUUGGAUCACCUCCUUACCUUAAAGAA
rnacentral:rRNA from 1 species